CCCUUAGAUGUUCUGGGCCGCAUGCGCGCUACACUGACGAAUGCAACGAGCUUAUAACCUUGGCCGAAAGGUUUGGGUAAUCUCCAAAUUUCGUCGUGAUGGGGAUAGAUUAUUGCAAUUAUUAAUCUUCAACGAGGAAUGCCUAGUAAGCGCAAGUCAUCAGCUUGCGUUGAUUACGUCCCUGCCCUUUGUACACACCGCCCGUCGCUCCUACCGAUUGAAUGGUCCGGUGAAGCGUUCGGACCGUGGCCUUUGGACGGUUCGCCGUCUGUUGGCUGCGGGAAGUUCGUUAAACCUUAUCAUUUAGAGGAAGGAGAAGUCGUAACA
rnacentral:rRNA from 1 species